UCUAGCCAUGCAUGGUCAUGAAAGGCCUAGAGCCAAGGGCGUGAGCAGCGGCGCCUCCCUGCAGCAGAGCAAGCCCCGGCCUGUACAACCUGCCCAGGAGAGGCAGAAGAGCAACGAGACGAACGUGGCUUCAGAAGGUGUUGUUGGGGUAGUAGCUGACAAUGCCACAACACAGGGUGCAUACAGCCUCAGUUCCCAGGUCUCAGUCUGCGUUCAUCUCGGCCACUCCUCAGCCCUCCACGUUGACGUUUCCCCAUGGCUGCCACGUAGCCACAAACUGACCACCUUAGAUUCAGGAAACCCACUGGCAACCCCACACCUUCAUGUGCUCUGAGCCACCGCCGAUGCCAAUCCCUUUCCCGAGACACUGAAUAUGCUCAGCAUCGUCCUGCCAGAUCUUCAGCCUUUUCCUCAGCCUGCUCCAUGCUGCUUCAACAGGGACUUUCUGACCUCAGACUGUUGACUAACCCUUUCUCUGCCACUCUGCGGGCUUGACCCAGGUUUACAGCUAGUGGCAAGAAAGACACACACACAUGUUGAUGAAUACCUGGAAGAAAUACUUCAGACACUAUAAUUUUGACUAUGGCAGCAAGGAAAUUAUUGUAACAUCAUCUAAGGCCAGCUUGUUCCCUGCAUGUAUAUGGCGCUGCGUUGCAGCGGAGGAGUGUAUCGAACAGCUGGAGCAACAUGACCACAAGUCUCCACGCUUUCGCCUGAAGAGUUGCUUGCUCUGCACGCUGAACCUGCAGCCUCCCCAGGACGCUCUCCAGCACGAGCCUUUUCUAUUGGGGGAACAGGAGAAGGAAGAUCUUGGAAAAGUUCCUGUGAUGCAACACUAAUGGCAAUGUUUCUCUCCAGAGUGAAUCCAGAGCAAUAAAUUGUUCCUCUGAACCUUCAGGAAAAUUUUUCUGAAGAUCUUUCUGUUCAGCAGUGGAUCGAAGGCACUUCAAGAUCUGAAGGGCCACAUGUUCUGCCCAGGAGUUUAAGCACAACCACUUUGCAGCAGAGAAGAAAACGAAGUAAGCUAUCAGUAGCAUUUAUUGAAGAAAUGCACAAGUGGGGCACCAGAUUCAAAGAGCUACUAUAAGUAUUGGGGAUAGGAGAAGAGAAACUUGGAGGUUGGGAAGUUCUUGAAAAGACACACGCGUUCCCCAGGCUGAACGCAGGAUUUCUGUAGCCAACGCGCUCCCAGCGGUGAGCCUUCACGAGGCCCCCUGGGCGCCCAUGACCGCACCAGCAUCCUGCAUGGGCGCUGGUCGUUGUGCAGAGCCAAAUCGCUGCGCAAGGUCCCUUGCAGUAAUCUCUUGGCCAGCACAGUCCCUGCAGUGCCUUUCACCAGCGGAGGUGUACGUGCAGGACGAGACCCCUCCACCCCCGAAGCGCCGUACUGGCCCCUGCCCGCCGCGCCGUUAUCUCCAGCUAUUCACAGCCGGGCAUUGUUCGCAGCUCCCUGGGAGAUGGAGAAUUCCAGCAGCUGCAGAAUGCACAUAAUCUCCUGUCAAUCCCUACAGAAUACUGUGCCAAACAUGCAAGAAGGGGCAGAAGGGAGAGAAAAAUGAAAGAAGCAUUUAAGAUGCCUGAUUAAAAAAAAAAAGCCUGACAGGUUGUAUUUUUGAUUAUAUUUCAGUUUUAAUUCCUUGUUGGCAGUAGCUGGUCUUAUUUCAUUGUCUUUAAUUUCUCCUCAGAUCUAUCCGCAAGUUUAAUAUAAUUCUUUGUGCAUGCUCAGGACUUGUUCACUUAAUUGAAUGAAACUAGAAGCCAUAAUUAUGCCGAAAGGUUGUAUUAAUAUAUUAAAGAAUAAUCAGCAAUCUCUCCCCAACCUUUCCUCAAUUUGAUUGCACAAAGAUUUGGCUGCUGGUUUUUUUAAGCACAGACAUAAUACGUUAUCCAAUGCAAUUCUUAAAAUUAAUCAGACAUGAGAAAUUCUGCAAAGCAUAGGAUCUCCUCACUUAAGGACUUAAAGGAAUAAAGAAAGUAGGCAGUUAAAAACCUGUAACAUUAGUAACAUCAGUACAAUGUACCCCAAAUAACUGACUGUCCACAAAGCAGUGCGUGCACUUCCAGUGGCUCCUGAUGAGUCUACCUCACAGACGCGAACAUUCGGACGACGUAACAUUCCUUGCGACCCGUGAUCCUGUGCCAGUAUUACACAUCAGGCUAUUCUGCAGUUGUGUAAACUAGCUAAAAGGAAUCCACUUGCAUUAAGAGUCUAUCCUAACUGAUGGACUCUCUCCUAGGUAUGUUGCUAUUAUGCUCCAUGGAAUAGUUUUAGACAUCGGUACCAUACUUGCAGCAUUGCUUCUCUUUCCUUCAACCUUCUAAACAUGGAUUUCCCCCCCCAUUUAGCUGCUAACUAAUUACUGGCUCCAUGCUGUCUGGAGGCUGGCUUCAUAAGCCCUCACAGGAAAAGUUUGGCAUGAUGCUCGCCCUGUCAGUUUUGGCUUUCCUCUUUGCAUUUUCUCCCUUGAAUUUGCAUAUUCCUCAUUGUUUUCCCAGCUCCUUUCCAUCCCUUCUUAUACACAGUAGCCACCUUCUUCUUGUACUUUCCCCCGCUACUCUGAGCUUCUCUACCCAGCUGCCUUUGACUAAUGUUAGCACUCAGCUUGCCCUGUUGCAUUAAGUUCUUCUCUAUAAUCACCUAGGCAGAACAAAGAGCAAAUUUCAGUAACGAACUGAACUCUAAAGACGAGCAGCAGUAUGGGGAAGACUUGCACUGUUUUAGGGAAGGCAGUUUGCAACUCAGGGACAGAAAGCUCAGUUCACCUGUGUCUAAACGACUUGUGUCUGGACCAGCGUAUGUGCCAGUGGUGUCCAGCUCAGGCUGCUCUGAACAUGUGAGAUUGCAGUCCCUGCAGACUAAGUCACUGCUUUUGAUAGAGCAAAACAGCAAAGACCUUCCAGCAUGAACAGCUGACGAUACAAUACACAGACCCCUCCACCACACUUCCCUAACAGGCUCCCAACAUCACUGGAGGCUACAAUUUUCAAUUCCUUUCACUAGAGCUGAUUCCAUGAUUAAAAAGGGAAAACCAGGUGUCUUUGGCUCCAGCUCAGCUUCCCAUCCGUACCAAAGUUCAAAAAGAGUUGCAGAACAAUGUUCAGACACAGACCAACAAAAAAAAUUCUAACAUAGAUUUGCCAGACUGUGGAACUGUAGCUGAACUGUGUGUGAACAUUAUUUAAAAAUAGGUUGCACUCUAUCGGGCUUUACGAACAGUUCACAGAGUCUAGAAAUCGUUCUUGUUAUGGGCUUGAAAUUAAACACUGCCAUCAGUGCUUCUGCUUCUUUAGGCAGAAUUUUUCUCCACUCACACGCAGGCACACACAUAUAUAUCUUAGAGGAGGCUUCUGGAGAGAUUUUUGCUGUAACAUCUGACGUCAUUUUUAACAGUUUGCAACUACAAUGACCCAUUUUUUAUUACACCAUACUUCAAAGACAAUUUGCUGGUCUGGAGAUACCUUUCUGUGUGUGUGUGUACAAGCCUGGCAACAACCUGUAUUUGAAAGCAGUAAAACUUUACCCUUCUGCUGAAGUACUUCCAACCUGUCCUCUGCCUGCCAAAAUAUAUCCCUUGACUGCAGACUCCAUAUGACUUGCCCCUCAACUAUAGAUCCUGUCAACUUGCAUUAUCCAUGGUAACAGUAAUAUUUAAGAAAUAUCCUCUAGCAAAAAGCUUACACAGCUUUUUUAGCUUGAGCAGAAUAAAUGCCAGAUAUCAACAGUACCACAAACAUAUCUUAAUUCUGAUAAACAACUCAAAGCACAAGUUGGUGUUUAUAAUUUCUAAAACCUAAUAAUUUUGACUACAUCUACAGUGUUCCUUUACAUUCAUAUUAAAAAAAAAUCACAUUUUUAAUACUAAGAAGAUCCUGUUGUGUUUAGUAGCAGCAAGUCAUAGGAAGAAGAUUAAUGGAAACAACAAAAAAGCAAACAGUAUCGAAGGACUGCUUCUUCCGUUAUUGAACUACAGUUAUCCUUUUUUUAUUUCCUCCUAAAAGACCUUUUUGACUACUACUGCCAACUCUCAGUUUACUAAGACAAAGCUGGAGACAAAUCUUCAUAACUUAAAUUAAAAAGUCAUUCUCAUUUUUCAAUGGCAGAACGAACAGAACUGCAAUCUGGAGGGAGACUGGAAAUACACAAUUCUUGUUGAUUCUUGUUCAUUGAUUAUCAUACCAAAUUGAUCUUUCCAGAUGAAAUAAAUGCAAAAAUCUGAUAAAUUUAUCUCCUGACUCCUAACAGCCUGCAGUGAAAUAAUGGCAACAUGCCUACACUGCUUCCUCUUACAGGCUCGUUUACAAGAUGCUUUGUUGAUGAUAUUUAAACAAUAGCUAUUGCCAAAUGGGAUUGGCAAUGCUGGUUAUAUUAAUCAGCAUCCUUGCUCAAAAUAAGGAAGUGUCUGUUGAUCAUUUUUAGUGUGGUUUCCUAGGAAAAAAAAAGUUGUUUUAUCAUCUUGUCUACCUGCUGCCAGCGGCUAGAAGCACUGAAGAGUACUGAGGACUAUACGGCUGUGAACAGAGAAUGAUUUAGAGGAUGUUUUAUUGGGAAAGUUAUUGCAGUAAGACGUGCAGGGCAUUUGGGACAAUAACUCAUAGAAAACCUGGGACCGUUAUUUCUGCUGGUCAAGGAGAAGCUUUUUUUCAGCUGUCAUAUUUUAGAGAGUAUUUUGGGUUAUAUAUUCUUUUUUUUUCCAGUUUUUUUCCAAAAAUGAGACAAAUUGAAGUAAAAAGCCAUACACGUACACGCUAAUACAAAGAAAACGUAAGAGGGAAUUAUUCUCCUAUUCAGGAGCUCUAUCACAGGGAAUUAAAAAAAAAAAGUUUCACUUGCUUCUGCUGAAAAGGAUGUAGUCCAAUGCUAAGAAAUAAUGAAAAACAUGUACAAUGAGAAGUGACACUUUAACUAGUAUCACAGAAAAAUGACUUUAUUUGCAUGCAUGUAAUGGGUAAUAAAUUUUGUACUGUGUCGUGUCAAAUGACAGACAAAAUAAUGUUCCUUGUCAAAAGCCUGACAUUACUACCCUUAAAUUCAAAAGCGUUCUUCUGCUGGAAGUAGAAUCCAGCUUCAAAUGGGAGCACAUAUACUUUGGAAAGUCAACAUUAAGUUUGUUUGUAC